GACGAACGCUGGCGGCGUGCUUAACACAUGCAAGUCGAGCGGCGCGGCGAACGGGUGAGUAACGCGUGAGUUAUUGCCCCCCUCUCUGGGCUAAAAGAUGGAAACGGAUGCUAAUACCUGAUAGUGGGGGAUGACGCGGGUCAUAUCAGCUUGUUGGUGGGGUAGUGGCCUGCCAAGGCGACGACGGGUAGCCGGCCUGCGAGGUCGACCAGCCACAUUGGGCUGAGAUACGGCCCAAACGCCUACGGGAGGCAGCAGUGGGGAAUAGUGCACAAUGGGGGGAACCAUGAGGCAGCGACGCCGCGUGCGGGAUGACGGCCUUCGGGUUGUAAACCGCUUUCAGCCAAUACGCGGUAGUGGCAGAAGAAGCACCGGCUAACUACGUGCCAGCAGCCGCGGUAAUUC
rnacentral:rRNA from 1 species